CGGCACUCCUCUCACUGCUGUGGCUGAUGGAGGAGGAGCAUGUCUCUGUACCAUGCUCCCUCACAGAGACAUGCUCCUCCUCCAUCAGCCACAGCAGUGAGAGGAGUGCC